GAGAGAGAGAGAGAGAGAGAGAGAGAGAACAAGAAAAAAGAAAAGAAAAAAAUGUAUGCGAGAUUUGUUUUUCUUUACUCCUUAGCCACGUAAUGAACGCGGGGAACGAGAUAUAGACAGUUUUGCUCUGUUCCUCUCGUUAUUUCACUAUUUU
rnacentral:miRNA from 1 species